CUAGCGACUUCAGAGUUUGAUCCUGGCUCAGGAUGAACGCUGGCGGCGUGCAUAACACAUUCAAGUCGAACGGACAAGGGGACUUCGGUCCCUGCGUUAGUGGCGGACGGGUGAGUAACGCGUGAGCAACCUGCCCUUGUGUGUGGAAUAACGUUUGGAAACGAACGCUAAUACCGCAUAAAGCAUAGAGAUCGCAUGGUCUUUAUGCCAAAGAUUUAUUGCACAAGGAUGGGCUCGCGUCCGAUUAGAUAGUUGGUGAGGUAACGGCCCACCAAGUCGACGAUCGGUAGCCGGACUGAGAGGUUGAACGGCCACAUUGGAACUGAGAAACGGUCCAG
rnacentral:rRNA from 1 species